rnacentral:misc_RNA from 1 species
CGAGAGUGUCACCACUCCCAACCCAUUGUUUACCUACCCGUCCACCGUGCUUCGGCAGGCAGUCCUGUGGGACAGGGCCUCGCCCCCGCCAGGGGGUGCCUGCCGCUGGCCAACCAAAAAUUCUAGCUGUUUUUGUAACAUCUGAGUCUUCCACAAAUAAACA